rnacentral:rRNA from 1 species
UGCGAUAAGUAAUGUGAAUUGCAGAAUUCAGUGAAUCAUCGAAUCUUUGAACGCACAUUGCGCCUAAUAGUAUUCUGUUAGGCAUGCCUGUUCGAGCGUCAUUUCAACCUUCAAGCCCUAUUUGCUUGACGUUGGGAGUUUACAGCUGCUGUAAUUCCUUAAAUUUAGUGGCGGAGCUAGGUCAUGCUCUGAGCGUAGUAAUUCUUUUUUCUCGCUCUUGAUGCUGCCCUGUAUCUUGCCGUAAAACCCCCUAAAUUUUAUUCUGGUUGACCUCGGAUCAGGUAGGAAUACCCGCUGAACUUAAGCAUAUCAAUAAGCGGAGGAAAAGAAACCAACAGGGAUUGCCCUAGUAACGGCGAGUGAAGCGGCAACAGCUCAAAUUUGAAAUCUGGCCUUCGGGUCCGAAUUGUAAUUUGCAGAGGAUGCUUUUGGCGAGGUGCCUUCCGAGUUCCCUGGAACGGGACGCCUUAGAGGGUGAGAGCCCCGUACGGUUGGACACUAAGCCUCUGUAAAGCUCCUUCGACGAGUCGAGUAGUUUGGGAAUGCUGCUCUAAAUGGGAGGUAAAUUUCUUCUAAAGCUAAAUACCGGCCAGAGACCGAUAGCGCACAAGUAGAGUGAUCGAAAGAUGAAAAGCACUUUGAAAAGAGGGUUAAAUAGCACGUGAAAUUGUUGAAAGGGAAGCGUUUACGGCCAGACCUUUUCCUAGCGGAUCAUCUAGUGUUCUCACUGGUGCACUUCGUUAGGUUUAGGCCAGCAUCGGCUUCUGUAGAGGGAUAAAAGCAGUGGGAAAGUAGCUCUCUCGGGAGUGUUAUAGCCCUAAGCAUAAUACC